ACGUCAAGUCAAUAUUGUUAUUAUUCGAUAUCGCCAAAUCGUCGUAUUAUAGUCGCGGUCGCUGUUCAAGCCAUAGAAAAUAAUUUUUUAGCUAUACUUGUAAACACAACAACCUACUUAAUUCGUUAAAACAAAAUAUAUCUUAACGAAAGAAGAUUUUCGACGAUACACAAUUACACACCGCAGUGUUGUUGUUAAGAAAGGCUUCGAAGAUUGUACAGAAAAUUCCUUUUGAAAACGACUUAUAACAGACAAAUUUAUUAAAAUGGCUACACCUACUCCUGAUGCUCCUGAAAAUUUCGACCAGUUUGAUGAUGAUGAAUCCGAGCAGCAACUGGGUUCAACAGGCUCCGGCCGGAAGAGACUCUUCAGCAAAGAGCUGCGUUGCAUGAUGUAUGGGUUUGGGGAUGACCAGAAUCCUUACACGGAGAGUGUAGACUUUUUGGAGGAUUUGGUUAUUGAAUUUAUUACGGAAACCACACACAGAGCAAUGGAGGUAGGAAGAACAGGGAGGGUCCAAGUGGAAGAUAUUAUAUUCUUAGUACGGAAAGAUCAAAGGAAAUAUGCCAGAGUCAAGGACCUCCUUACUAUGAAUGAAGAACUGAAGAAAGCUAGGAAAGCUUUUGAUGAAGUUAAAUAUGUCGAAGACCAACAAUAAUGAUGAUGGCGAACAAGAGACAGCUUCUAAGGCUGAUAAUGAAGAACCAAGACAUGAUUAGUUAUGUAAUGUGAAUUUUAUAUCAAGCUGUGUUAUGCUGAAGUUGAAGCAAGAGGGUAUAUAAGGAUAGGAUCAGAUACGUCAUACGUCGGUUAGCAUAGCAA